GAGUGAAAGCGCGUUCUCCUCCGAUGACUCACGCGAAUCUCUCCGUUCGGGAGAGUGAGCAGAAACGAGACCUAAGGAGGGUUGGACACUUUUCCCCAUCAAAACAACACAUUUUCCCUUGUUCCUAAAGGAACGGAGCAUUUCCCAGUAGUGUUGCCGGACCAAAGGGCUCAUCCAGAAUGGGCAAAGUCUUAUCUCUGAUUGGCGUUGUGGCUCUCGUCGCACUGGCUGUCGCUGCCUACCUCUGGUGGCGAAGGCGACGGCAAGCACCAAGAACUGUGGUGGUUACGCAGACAAUAUGACAUCGUUAUUUUAAACAUGUUUUUGAAUCAGUUUUGCUUUCAUAAGGAAUGGGUGUUCUCCUAUAAGAAAUGUGUGUGUUUUUGAGAUUUGUUGUUAUUAUUAUUAUCAUUAUUCAUUGUUAUUAUUGUUUUUAUUACUAUUAUCAUUAUUAUCAUUAUUAUUACU